UGAAAAAGGCAAAUCUGUUCGAAAGUCAGAGACGCAAAGCCACAGGCCUAAGGUUCAUUAAUGAACUAUGGUAGCUGGGUUACC
rnacentral:ncRNA from 1 species